UGUGUGUGUGUGUGUGUGUGUGUGUGUGUGUGUGUACAUGUUUUAGUUGUAAUUUCAGUCAGCUGUGUCGUGCUAGGACAACAACCAAAACGUUGUACCCAAGAGGGGACCCCGGGACCGAGUUUGAGAAACCUGCUGUACAGCAAAACACACUGGAGAUGAAAGCAGCCGAUCCUGACUGAUUAAAGCCCAUAGAAUAACAUGUAGAACAGCUAUGACCUCUAGGACCCUGGAGCUCCAAGCCAGCGUCACUGUUCCCCUCUAAUCAGGGACUGAUUUAGACCUGGGACACCAGGUGGGUUAUUCCCCUCUAAUCAGGGCCUGAUUUAGACCUGGGGACACCAGGUGGGUUAUUCCCCUCUAAUCAGGGCCUGAUUUAGACCUGGGGACACCAGGUGGGUUAUUCCCCUCUAAUCAGGGCCUGAUUUAGACCUGGGGACACCAGGUGGGUUAUUCCCCCUCUAAUCAGGGCCUGAUUUAGACCUGGGGACACCAGGUGGGUUAUUCCCCUCUAAUCAGGGACUGAUUUAGACCUGGGGACACCAGGUGGGUGAUUCCCCCUCUAAUCAGGGACUGAUUUAGACCUGG
rnacentral:lncRNA from 1 species